UGCAGAAUUACAAAGAACAAGGUUGGCUCUGAAGAAGAGAUAUUGAGUAGAUACCUUCCACCACUUUUUGGCAGAGUAGAAGGUCCACAGCAAGUCAACCAUGGUGGCAAAUAUUAAAAAGAACAAGAACGACAAAAGCAGCUUAGCAAAACCAACCAAGUGCAGCAAUCAUAUCUGAAAACAUAAGCAAUAUUCCACACACACACACCAAUACUCCCACCUCUGCAGAGAGGGGAAGGAGGGACAUUGUGUAAUCUCAUCUUGAAGGGCAAGUUUUAGCUCCCUUAUUUUAUGGAUGAAGAAACCAAGGUCGAGAGGCUAAGUGACCUACGCAACUUCACACAGGACUCUGCUUUACCAUGGCAUUUCCUAGCUCUUCAGCCAACCUAAUUUCAGAUGACAUGAAUCAUUUGUUUCAUAAUCUCUAACCAUUAAAGGUCUUUC